AGUCGACGGUAACAUUUCUAGCUUGCUAGAAGAUGACGAGUGGCGGACGGGUGAGUAAUGCUUGGGAACUUGCCUUUAGGAGGGGGAUAACAGUUGGAAACGACUGCUAAUACCGCAUAAUGUCUACGGACCAAAGGGGGCUUCGGCUCUCACCUGAAGAGAGGCCCAAGUGAGAUUAGCUAGUUGGUAAGGUAAAAGCUUACCAAGGCGACGAUCUCUAGCUGUUCUGAGAGGAAGAUCAGCCACACUGGGACUGAGACACGGCCCAGACUCCUACGGGAGGCAGCAGUGGGGAAUAUUGCACAAUGGGGGAAACCCUGAUGCAGCCAUGCCGCGUGUGUGAAGAAGGCCUUCGGGUUGUAAAGCACUUUCAGUUGUGAGGAAAGGUUGGUAGUUAAUACCUGCCAGCUGUGACGUUAACAACAGAAGAAGCACCGGCUAACUCCGUGCCAGCAGCCGCGGUAAUACGGAGGGUGCGAGCGUUAAUCGGAAUUACUGGGCGUAAAGCGCACGCAGGCGGUUUGUUAAGCUAGAUGUGAAAGCCCCGGGCUCAACCUGGGAUGGUCAUUUAGAACUGGCAGACUAGAGUCUUGGAGAGGGGAGUGGAAUUCCAGGUGUAGCGGUGAAAUGCGUAGAUAUCUGGAGGAACAUCAGUGGCGAAGGCGGCUCCCUGGCCAAAGACUGACGCUCAUGUGCGAAAGUGUGGGUAGCGAACAGGAUUAGAUACCCUGGUAGUCCACACCGUAAACGCUGUCUACUAGCUGUUUGUGAAUUUAAUUCGUGAGUAGCGAAGCUAACGCGAUAAGUAGACCGCCUGGGGAGUACGGCCGCAAGGUUAAAACUCNAAUGAAUUGACGGGGCCCGCACAAGCGGUGGAGCAUGUGGUUUAAUUCGAUGCAACGCGAA
rnacentral:rRNA from 1 species